rnacentral:rRNA from 1 species
UAUACAACCUCAACUCAUAUGGGAUUACCCCCUGAAUUUAAGCAUAUUAUAAGCGA